CAUCAUCUUCUCUCACUAUUUUAUCUUUUUAGACUUCAUCUUCUCCACCAUAUAACUUUUUUUUCCACUAAAACUUCAGGUAAAGCUCAAUGUCAUCUCUCGUUGCAAAUAAACAUCAACUUCCUCUUUUCUUUUUUCUCGUUUGUGUUUGUCAUGGGUGCCUUCCAAGUAUUUUCAAAGUUGCCUGCCAAAAAAACCAUAAAAAUACCGAACAUUUUCUACUACUAAGAUAUAUCUCAGGCACCCCCUCGGUAACACGUAAAUCCACCCCUGAACAACAGCCACGUAUCUUUCUUUUCUGUCGCGUGUAACACAAACCCUUAAGAAGCCCCAAACAAGAACACAUAAACCCUCGCACACAAUCCAAUCAGUUUAUGUGUAGAUUACAACAUAUGUUUUUGACUGUUUUGGUCAAAUUUGACCCUAAUAUUUUCUAAAUUUACAUUUUUAGUUUAUUUAUUGUACAUAUAGCUUGGUUAGUUGUACAUUGAAUGUAUUAAAUAGUUUCAGUGCUUCGUUAUGUUGUAAUUGUACCACAUUAUAUGGUACAUCUACCGAAGCGAUCUGAAAUGAGCUUACCCCCUUGUACCGAAUUUUAGGGACCUGGCGAAUUGCGAUCCCGUUCCACGUUCCCGUGCCGAAGCGUACCGCGAACUAUGUGAGUAUGGAUCUCAUACUAGGAGCGUACCGAAUUUUAGGGACCUAGCGAAUUAUCUGUUAUAAUAAUCUUUCUUUCCCUAGAAAAUUAGAUGGACUAAAAAAAGCUAAAGAAAAGGCAGAGAAGGAGGUUGCUACAUUUUUGGAUGUUGUUAUGCCAUACUUUUGUUUUAUUCAUUUGGUACUUUUUCCUUCUGUUAAGAAGCUUACUUUUUAGCAUGUUCGUCUUUUCAAUCAUUUAACUUUGUGUUGGCAAGACCAGUUUUUAUAUGGGGAUAUCUGUGAUGAUGGUGAAUGGUGAUACCAAUAUAUGAUUUAAGCAAAUUAGAUAUUUAAUUUUGGUACAAUACUUUGAAUUAAGCACUCUUUUCUAAUGUCUAAUAAGUUUUCAUAUCUGUUUAUUGAUCAAGUUCUUAAGGAUUAAUUUUUAUGUUUGUUGAUGUAUAUUUUUUUGCCACAAUGUGGCGCUAUCCAAUGAGAAACAAGGGAUAAUGGCUGAUGACUCACAACCCCCCCCCCCCCCCAUUUGUUGUUAGAUGGUUAAAGUAGCAGGGAUUGAGCCGAUUAAAUAAUUGAACUACGGGAAGUGCAAAAUCCAACCAGGAAUGUGACACUAGGCAGAUUGACAAGAAGCACCAAUAGUUUACAAUAGGUUCACCAAGUCUCUUUCUUCUUCAACCUUUUCUUUUUACCAUUUCACUCUUAUGAAGAUGGAUCUGGUGUCUCAAUGCCUACCAGGACCAUGAAGAUUAAAAGAAGG